rnacentral:rRNA from 1 species
CAGUCGAGCGGUAGCACAAGGGGAGCUUGCUCCCUGGGUGACGAGCGGCGGACGGGUGAGUAAUGUCUGGGAAACUGCCUGAUGGAGGGGGAUAACUACUGGAAACGGUAGCUAAUACCGCAUAACGUCGCAAGACCAAAGAGGGGGACCUUCGGGCCUCUUGCCAUCAGAUGUGCCCAGAUGGGAUUAGCUAGUAGGUGGGGUAAUGGCUCACCUAGGCGACGAUCCCUAGCUGGUCUGAGAGGAUGACCAGCCACACUGGAACUGAGACACGGUCCAGACUCCUACGGGAGGCAGCAGUGGGGAAUAUUGCACAAUGGGCGCAAGCCUGAUGCAGCCAUGCCGCGUGUGUGAAGAAGGCCUUCGGGUUGUAAAGCACUUUCAGCGAGGAGGAAGGUGGUGAGCUUAAUACGCUCAUCAAUUGACGUUACUCGCAGAAGAAGCACCGGCUAACUCCGUGCCAGCAGCCGCGGUAAUACGGAGGGUGCAAGCGUUAAUCGGAAUUACUGGGCGUAAAGCGCACGCAGGCGGUUUGUUAAGUCAGAUGUGAAAUCCCCGGGCUCAACCUGGGAACUGCAUUUGAAACUGGCAAGCUAGAGUCUCGUAGAGGGGGGUAGAAUUCCAGGUGUAGCGGUGAAAUGCGUAGAGAUCUGGAGGAAUACCGGUGGCGAAGGCGGCCCCCUGGACGAAGACUGACGCUCAGGUGCGAAAGCGUGGGGAGCAAAACAGGAUUAGAUACCCUGGUAGUCCACGCUGUAAACGAUGUCGAUUUGGAGGUUGUGCCCUUGAGGCGUGGCUUCCGGAGCUAACGCGUUAAAUCGACCGCCUGGGGGAGUACGGCCGCAAGGUUAAAACUCAAAUGAAUUGACGGGGGCCCGCACAAGCGGUGGAGCAUGUGGUUUAAUUCGAUGCAACGCGAAGAACCUUACCUACUCUUGACAUCCAGAGAACUUAGCAGAGAUGGUUUGGUGCCUUCGGGAACUCUGAGACAGGUGCUGCAUGGCUGUCGUCAGCUCGUGUUGUGAAAUGUUGGGUUAAGUCCCGCAACGAGCGCAACCCUUAUCCUUUGUUGCCAGCGGUUCGGCCGGGAACUCAAAGGAGACUGCCAGUGAUAAACUGGAGGAAGGUGGGGAUGACGUCAAGUCAUCAUGGCCCUUACGAGUAGGGCUACACACGUGCUACAAUGGCGUAUACAAAGAGAAGCGACCUCGCGAGAGCAAGCGGACCUCAUAAAGUACGUCGUAGUCCGGAUUGGAGUCUGCAACUCGACUCCAUGAAGUCGGAAUCGCUAGUAAUCGUAGAUCAGAAUGCUACGGUGAAUACGUUCCCGGGCCUUGUACACACCGCCCGUCACACCAUGGGAGUGGGUUGCAAAAGAAGUAGGUAGCUUAACCUUCGGGAGGGC